GGCAUGCACCACCUCUCAGCGUGUCUGGUAAGACCUUUAGCCUGACCUUCAUUCUGCUGUCGCACUGGUAAGGUUCCUCNGCGUUGAAUCGAAUUAAACCGCAGCCUCCACCCCUUGUGUGCUCCCCCGCCAAUUCCCUUAAGUUUCAGCCUUGCGACCGUACUUCCCAGGUGGCCCAUUUAACGAUUUCUCUACGACUCUGGCAACCCCCUUAAGAUUGCCAAUGUCUAAUGGGCAUGGUUUACAGCCAGGACUACCGGGGUAUCUAAUCCCGUUUGCUCCCCUGGCUUUCGUCCCUCACCGUCAGAUCCGUUCUAGUAGAGCGCCUUCGCCACAGGUGGUCCUCUCGGGAUUAUAAGAUUUUACCCUUACCCCGAGAAUACCCUCUACCUCUCCCGGUCUCGAGCCUGCCAGUAUCCCCAACAAUUUCGACAGUUAGCUGCCGAAUUUCAUUAGGGACUUAACAAGCCGGCUACGAACGCUUUAAACCCAAUAAAAGCGGUCACCACUUGGGGCCCAGGUAUUACCGCGGCGGCUGGCACCUGUGUUACCCACCCCUUAUUCGCCAAGCUUUUUACACUUUGACAAAAGACUCCUCGCAAAA
rnacentral:rRNA from 1 species